GCGUUUGAAAAAUUAAACUCACUACAAAAUUGAAGUAUAAAUCAAAGAAUUUCUUGCAAAUAAAAUUAUAUUACUUGUAUAACCUAAUAACUGCAAAUUUCAUCAUAUUUCCGCCCCAAAUCACUAAUAUUAUUCUGACCUUAACAUGAAAUUGUCAUCUUGACAUCCUAAUACUUGCAUUUAUACGUAUUAUCAAAUCAUUCUGUUCAAAUGAACACAAAGGUCCAAAUUAAAUGGAUUGGAAAGCCAAGAAGCACAUAACAGAACAAUUGAAUUUACACUGCCACCGCACCGCACCAGUAAUCAAGAUCCCUGCUCAACAUAAAAUUGACAUUCGAAGGCAUCGCCAGACUGUCGUUAACUUGGUACAAACACAAAUAGGAAAAUGCAAUUGUAAAUUUGACCGCAUAGUAAAGAAUACACAAAGAUGCAGCCAAACACGAAAGUCCGGUCUAAUUCUAUACAGCCUGAUAGUAUUCGUGAUAGCUGUUCUGUGUAUUUAUGCAGCAAUGGUUUACGGUGCAAUUGUAGGGGCUGCACAAUGCUCGAGAGACGACUUUGGAUGUGCACACACUUUGUGCGCAAAGCUUGGCAUUCCGGGCCUUCGGUUUAAGCGAAAUAAGCAGCAUGGAAUUAUGUAGUGUACAUGACAACUUGCUUUUUUAUAGUUAUUUUAUUUUAUCGAAUAAAUUUCUUUUGUUUAACAAAA